CAAUAGCGUAUAUUAAAGUUGUUGCGGUUAAAAAGCUCGUAGUUGGAUUUCUGCUGAGAACGACCGGUCCGCCCUUUGGGUGUGUAUCUGGCUCUUUCUUGGCAUCUUCUUGGUGAACGUUGCUGCACUUGACUGUGUGGAGCGCUACCCAGGACUUUUACUUUGAGGAAAUUAGAGUGUUUCAAGCAGGCAUACGCCUUGAAUACAUUAGCAUGGAAUAAUAAGAUAGGAUCUCGGUUCUAUUUUGUUGGUUUCUAGAGCUGAGGUAAUGAUUAAUAGGGAUAGUUGGGGGCAUUCGUAUUUAACUGUCAGAGGUGAGAUUCUUGGAUUUGUUAAAGACGGACUACUGCGAAAGCAUUUGCCAAGGAUGUUUUCAUUG
rnacentral:rRNA from 1 species